rnacentral:rRNA from 1 species
AUUGGACGCUGGCGGCAUGCCUUACACAUGCAAGUCGAACGGCAGCACGGGAGCAAUCCUGGUGGCGAGUGGCGAACGGGUGAGUAAAGCAUCGGAACGUGCCCAGUCGUGGGGGAUAACGUAGCGAAAGCUACGCUAAUACCGCAUACGAUCUGUGGAUGAAAGCGGGGGACCGUAAGGCCUCGCGCGAUUGGAGCGGCCGAUGUCAGAUUAGGUAGUUGGUGGGGUAAAGGCUCACCAAGCCGACGAUCUGUAGCUGGUCUGAGAGGACGACGAGCCACACUGGGACUGAGACACGGCCCAGACUCCUACGGGAGGCAGCAGUGGGGAAUUUUGGACAAUGGGCGCAAGCCUGAUCCAGCAAUGCCGCGUGCAGGAUGAAGGCCUUCGGGUUGUAAACUGCUUUUGUACGGAGCGAAAAGGCUUCCACUAAUACUGGGGGCUCAUGACGGUACCGUAAGAAUAAGCACCGGCUAACUACGUGCCAGCCGCCGCAGUAA